AACGAACGCUGGCGGCAUGCCUAACACAUGCAAGUCGAACGAGACCUUCGGGUCUAUUGGCGCACGGGUGCGUAACGCGUGGUAACCUGCCCUUAGGUUCGGAAUAACUCCCCGAAAGGGGUGCUAAUACCGGAUAAUGUCUUCGGACCAAAGAUUUAUCGCCUUUGGAUGGGCCCGCGUUGGAUUAGCUAGUUGGUAGGGUAAAAGCCUACCAAGGCGACGAUCCAUAGCUGGUCUGAGAGGAUGAUCAGCCACACUGGGACUGAGACACGGCCCAGACUCCUACGGGAGGAAGCAGUGGGGAAGAUUGGACAAUGGGCGAAAGCCUGAGCCAGCAAUGCCGCGUGAGUGAUGAAGGCCUUAGGGUUGUAAAGCUCUUUUACCCGGGAUGAUAAUGACAGUACCGGGAGAAUAAGCUCCGGCUAACUCCGUG
rnacentral:rRNA from 1 species